rnacentral:rRNA from 1 species
AUGUUUCCGUACUGUGUGUUUGAAAUCUGUGGAUUUAAUACCAUCCAAUUUUUUUUUUCUGUGGAUUCAAUAUGUUGCUGUCGCUCAGGAGAAAUGCAGCUGCAUAUCUGUUUGAUUUCUGAUUCAGGCUAUGCCAGAGAGGUGAACCACAACCAGGAUUGCCGCCAAAAUCAGAGCAAGAAAGCACCGGAUACCGGAGAGUGCAGCAUAUGGCCUGGCCUGGCUGGGGCACUUCCAUCAGAACAUCCAAAUGUUGUGUACACCAGUCCUUCAGAUCCUCCAGUACUCAAACUCGGUCUCCUCGGCACCACUAAAGAAGCGAGAAUGAUCAGAGUCCUCGGAGUCACAAGGCUCCACAUUGAAAAACCGACAGUCGGGCUCCUCACCAUUGCUGCGAAACCACCAAUAACUAUCCCGUGGAGAAUGACAUCUACUAACAGGGCUGCCAGGCUCGAAAUACUUGGAAGAAUCAUCGAUGGAGUCAUCAUGGAUGCCAGACCGAGGACGCACCCAGUCAUCAGUUGGCGCAUAUGGAUACACCUUCUUCGUCUUAACACGGGCACACUUUGCUCGCAUGCUGCUGUCCAUGAUGAUGUUGCUGCAGUAGCGUAUGUCAAGGGACUCCAGGUGAGGGCAGCCGUCAAGGAUGGCUGUCAACCCUUGGUUGUCGAGGCCACUGUGGAAAAUCUUCAGGGACCGUAG